CAUGCAAGUCGAGCGAAGCUUUUUGGUAGUUUACUACUAGAAAUGACUGAGCGGCGAACGGGUGAGUAACGCGUGAGCAAUCUACCUUAGUUACUGGGAUAGCCCGAGGAAACUCGGAUUAAUACCAGAUAUUCUUAUUUUUUCACAUGAAGUUUUAAGGAAAGGUCAGCCGAACUAAGAUGAGCUCGCGUUCUAUCAGCUAGUUGGUGGGGUAAAAGCCUACCAAGGCUACGACGGAUAGCUGGUCUGAGAGGACGAUCAGCCACACUGGGACUGAGACACGGCCCAGACUCCUACGGGAGGCUGCAGCAGGGAAUAUUGUGCAAUGAGCGAAAGCUUGACACAGCGACACCGCGUGUGGGAUGACGGUUCUAGGAUUGUAAACCACUUUCAGGAGGGAAGGAAAUGACGGUACCUCCACAAGAAGACCCGGCCAACUAUGUGCCAGCAGCCGCGGUAAUACAUAGGGGUCAAGCGUUGUCCGGAUUUAUUGGGCGUAAAGAGCUCGUAGGCGGUUCAACAAGUCGGUCGUAAAAGUUUAGGGCUCAACCCUAAAAUGUCGAUCGAUACUGUUGUGACUAGGAUACGGUAGAGGUGAAUGGAAUUCCGAGUGUAGCGGUGAAAUGCGUAGAUAUUCGGAGGAACACCAAUUGCGAAGGCAGUUCACUGGACCGUGAUCGACG
rnacentral:rRNA from 1 species